AUUGAACGCUGGCGGCAGGCUUAACACAUGCAAGUCGAGCGAGCGGCGGACGGGUGAGUAAUGUCUGGGAAACUGCCUGAUGGAGGGGAUAACUACUGGAAACCGUAGCUAAUACCGCAUACCCUCAGAUUUGCCCAGAUGGGAUUAGCUAGUAGGUGGGGGAAUGGCUCACCUAGGCGACGAUCCCUAGCUGGGUCGAGAGGAUGACCAGCCACACGUGAACUGAGACACGGUCCAGACUCCUACGGGAGGCAGCAGUGGGGAAUAUUGCACAAUGGGCGCAAGCCUGAUGCAGCCAUGCCGCGUGUGUGAAGAAGGCCUUCGGGUUGUAAAGCACUUUCAGCGAGGAGGCGUUACUCGCAGAAGAAGCACCGGCUAACUCCGUGCCAGCAGCCGCGGUAAUAC
rnacentral:rRNA from 1 species